UUCUAAAAUGUGUCAGCAUAUCUCACCUGUCCUAAUCCUGUUCUUUAUAGUCACCUGUGAAACCAUGUGCUUCUAUAUCAUUAUUCACACGGAACAUUCCAGACUGGGGAAGUCUAACACACACACACACACACACGUAUACGUACACACACUGUACACACACAACCACGCUGUGUACACACAUGAGAUGUAAAGCGCCUCAUCAAACCGUGCCAUCAGCUUCCUGUAUAGUGAGUCUACUUGUCUGAGCCUCCCGUUCUUCAGCGAUCACAAUCCUUUACUAAAAAGGGAUAUUGUUUUUUCCAUCAACUGUGAAAAGAUAUAUCUAUAGAAAUCAUACAGAUUAAUAUAUGUACUCUCAAUUUAUGUAUAGUGUCCAUAUUCCCCCAUAAAAAAAAUAUUUAUACAUUUUGUAAAAAAAAAAACAAUAAAAAAAACUUCAGAAGAAAAAGAAUCUGAAAGAAAAACGGUGUCCUGAAGUUGAAGUGAAGUUGACAAGUUGGAGAUAUUUAUUCAAAACGACACUAAAGGACACCGCUGUGACUGUUUCCAAGAAAAAAAAACAACAGUCCCUUCACCUGCCCACUAUUACACAAUAUCAUUAAAUGUUCAACAAUGUAUCCAAUUUAAUGUGUUUUAACAUCAACAACAACAAAAAGAUUGACUUAUUUUUUUGGUUUUGUUUUUUAAAUCUGCAAUUUUCUGUGCAUUUGAGCCAAAUUGUUACAUGUACAAGAGCUAUAAUGUGUAUUUUAUUAAAUUAAUAUAUCGUUGUGUUGCAAUAUACAUGGGCUUUAUAUUGUAUUUUGAUGACCUCUCCUUAGUAGCUUGUCGAACUCUAUGAGUUUAAAUCAGUUUGGGGAUGUAUCCCGAAUAGCAACCUGUUUCCUGUGGAGUGCACUAGUUUUGACCAGGGCCCAUAGGGACACUCAUAGGGCUCUGAUCAAAACUAGUGCACUACGUAGUUUAUAGUGUUCCGUUUAGGACUCAAUCCUUUGGGUAUUUUUUUGUUUUGUUUUUUUUCCGUCUGUGUGUCCUCCUCUCUACUCAUUACGUCCUUUACAGGAUGGGUUUCACUGGUCUUUCAGGUGUGUCCUCCUCUCUACUCAUUACGUCCUUUACAGGAUGGGUUUCACUGGUCUUUCAGGUGUGUCCUCCUCUCUACUCAUUACGUCCUUUACAGGAUGGGUUUCACUGGUCUUUCAGGUGUGUUCUCCUCUCUACUCAUUACGUCCUUUACAGGAUGGGUUUCACUGGUCUUUCAGGUGUGUCCUCCUCUCUACUCAUUACGUCCUUUACAGGAUGGGUUUCACUGGUCUUUCAGGUGUGUCCUCCUCUCUACUCAUUACGUCCUUUACAGGAUGGGUUUCACUGGUCUUUCAGGUGUGUCCUCCUCUCUACUCAUUACGUCCUUUACAGGAUGGGUUUCACUGGUCUUUCAGGUGUGAUCUCCUCUCUUAUCCAACCUGAAAUCACAAUGAUUAUUAUUUAUUACAACACAAAA